GUUGUUGCAGUUAAAAAGCUCGUAGUUGAACCUCGGGGUCUACCCAUUGGUCAGGCUUAAUUGUCUGCACUGGUGAGAUGGAUCUCUACCUUCUGAGGAACUUUCAAGCCAUUUAUUUGGUGUGAUGGGAAAUCAGGACUGUUACUUUGAAAAAAUUAGAGUGUUUAAAGCAGACUAUCGUCUGAAUACAUUAGCAUGGAAUAAUGAAAUAGGACGGACUGAUUCUAUUUCGUUGGUUUCUAGGAUCACCGUAAUGAUUAAUAGGGAUAGUUGGGGGCAUUAGUAUUCAAUUGUCAGAGGUGAAAUUCUUGGAUUUAUUGAAGACUAACUACUGCGAGAGCAUUUGCCAAGGAUGUUUUCAUUAAUCAAGAACGAAAGUUAGGGGAUCGAAGACGAUCAGAUACCGUCGUAGUCUUAACCAUAAACUAUGCCGACUAGGGAUCGGACGAAGUUAAUUUUAUAAUGACGCGUUCGGCGCCUUACGGGAAAC
rnacentral:rRNA from 1 species